AACAUGUACGACGCAUCCACAAUGGACUCGGAAAAUUGGUGACCGCUUAAACAAUAUGACCGUCAACUGGAACGGAAAACCAGUGUCGAUGCACGGCCGACCUCACAUGGUCAGUUUUACAGUGCAUAGAACAAAAGUAAAUCCGGUGGAAACUUGGAUACCUCGUGCACAUGCAAUUCGAUCAAACGGAUCUCUGAAGUGAAGGAAUUAUAACCUGUUGAGAAUCAUAAGAGUGCCGCAAGUCCCAACCGGGUGCUGCAUGUUAAGAUACAUCAACAACAAAUUUGGACGUCUUUCGAGGACAUGUGGAGAACCUGAUGGUUCAAUUCUUCCACAAUAAAUUAAUACUAAUGCGGAUGUCGUGGACCUCCCUAUGGAACGCUAUUACCGCAUGCAUGAUUCGUUUUCAACGAAAAAAUUAAAUAGUGAUUAUGUCGACAAUUUCGAAAUAUCUGAAAGAAAAAUUUUAUAUUCAUAUUGUAUGUGAUUUAAAAAUGUUUAAAAUAAACUGGAAAAUUCUCAAAUAUUUGAAAAAUGCAUAACAAUUCUCUUAUCAAUGAAAUAAUCCUGAAAAAUAACCACCGAUUUAAAUUCCAUUUAAUUCACCACCACCAGAUGUCACUGUCGUAGAUAUUUCUCAAUGCAUAAAUUUUAAUAAUCGAGAUAUUUCUCGAUGAGAAAUAUUUCAGUUAUUACACGGCGAGAAAUAAUUCUGGAAGUGGGCACGGUAAAGCUUGAAAAUACAUGAAAAAUAAUAAAUUUAUAUUUUUUUCAUUUCUGAGUGUAGGAGAGAAAGAGAGAGGCGCAGACGCGCUUUCCUCACGACAACAUAAGCAUCCUAAAUUGGUGAUAUAGAGUACCAAAGUCUCGGCCAUCAACUCAAAUACAUACAUACAACAGCAGCAUCAAGCUUAGAAGGUGCGAGACGCAUGCGGAAGCCACCUGAGCACAUGAUCGAUAGAAUCGAGCAACAUCGAGCCGUGUACAAAUAGGUGCAUGCAUUAUGGCGUAUUAAAUAGUGCGCAACCAAUAAAGGAAUGAGAAAGACCAAAAAAGGGAGGAAAUCCCGGGAAAACGAUGAAAUGUGUCUAUUGAUUGGACAGAGCGAAAAACUGUGAAGAGAACAAAUUUUCGCCUCAAGUUAAAAAAAUGUUGUUCUUUUAAUUUGGAGUGAUAGAAAAACAUCGAGAAGUAUUAGCUCGCUUCUUUACUGUGAUAUACCAAUAUUAAGAUUUAUAAAAUACAAAUUUGAAUAGGCAUCGGUCUAUGCUCUCGUAAUGAUUUUAAACGAUGAAAAAUUGCAA